UUGAACGCUGGCGGCAUGCUUUACACAUGCAAGUCGAACGGUAACAGGCCGCAAGGUGCUGACGGGUGGCGAACGGGUGAGUAAUGCAUCGGGACGUGCCCAGUCGUGGGGGAUAACGCAGCGAAAGCUGCGCUAAUACCGCAUACGAUCUAUGGAUGAAAGCGGGGGACCGUAAGGCCUCGCGCGAUUGGAGCGGCCGAUGUCAGAUUAGGUAGUUGGUGGGGUAAAGGCUCACCAAGCCAACGAUCUGUAGCUGGUCUGAGAGGACGACCAGCCACACUGGGACUGAGACACGGCCCAGACUCCUACGGGAGGCAGCAGUGGGGAAUUUUGGACAAUGGGCGCAAGCCUGAUCCAGCAAUGCCGCGUGCAGGAAGAAGGCCUUCGGGUUGUAAACUGCUUUUGUACGGAAUGAAAAGGCUCUGGUUAAUACCUGGGGCACAUGACGGUACCGUAAGAAUAAGCACCGGCUAACUACGU
rnacentral:rRNA from 1 species